rnacentral:rRNA from 1 species
UACGAAGGGGGCUAGCGUUGUUCGGAAUCACUGGGCGUAAAGGGCGCGUAGGCGGCCGAUCAAGUCGGGGGUGAAAGCCUGUGGCUCAACCACAGAAUUGCCUUCGAUACUGUUUGGCUUGAGACCGGAAGAGGUUAGUGGAACUGCGAGUGUAGAGGUGAAAUUCGUAGAUAUUCGCAAGAACACCAGUGGCGAAGGCGGCUCACUGGUCCGGUACUGACGCUGAGGUGCGAAAGCGUGGGGAGCAAACAGG